GUUCUCAGCGGUGGAUUCUUACAUGGGCGGGUGGGUGGUGAAGGAGCUGAGGGUUUCUAUGACUGUGAGGGACUUGAUGUUUGAUUUAAGGUAGGUGGGUUCAGAGCACGGCGGCGGUUGCCAAGAGUUCCGUGCGUGCGACAAAGUGUCCAUUGGGCUUCCGACGAGUGCUGGAUCGGGGAACUUGAACGGUGGAGCAACGGNNNNNNNNNGAGUAAAAUUUAGGGUUUGAUCCUGUUAUCAUGACUACCUUGAAAUGUAAUUUCAUUUGGGG
rnacentral:misc_RNA from 1 species